AACGAACGCUGGCGGCAUGCCUAACACAUGCAAGUCGAACGAAAUCUUCGGAUCUAGUGGCGCACGGGUGCGUAACGCGUGGGAAUCUGCCCCUUGCUUCGGAAUAACAGUGAGAAAUUACUGCUAAUACCGGAUGAUGUCUCCGGACCAAAGAUUUAUCGGCACGGGAUGAGCCCGCGUAGGAUUAGGUAGUUGGUGGGGUAAUGGCCUACCAAGCCGACGAUCCUUAGCUGGUCUGAGAGGAUGCUCAGCCACACUGGGACUGAGACACGGCCUAGACUCCUACGGGAGGGAGCAGAGGGGAAUAUUGGAAACGGGGCGCAAGGCUGAUACAGCAAUGCCGCGUGAGUGAUGAAGGGCUUAGGGUUGUAAAGCUGUUUGACCAGGGAUGAUAAUGACAGUACCUGGAGAAUAAGCUCCGGCUAACUACGUG
rnacentral:rRNA from 1 species